rnacentral:rRNA from 1 species
GAGUUUGAUCAUGGCUCAGGAUGAACGCUGGCGGCGUGCUUAACACAUGCAAGUCGAACGAAGCGCCUUAUUUGAUUUUCUUCGGAACUGAAGAUUUGGUGACUGAGUGGCGGACGGGUGAGUAACGCGUGGGGUAACCUGCCCUGUACAGGGGGGAUAACAAUCAGAAAUAGACUGCUAAUACCGCAUAAGACCACAGCACCGCAUGGUGCAGGGGUAAAAACUACCGGUGGUACAGGAUGGACCCGCGUCUGAUUAGCUGGUUGGUGAGGUAACGGCUCACCAAGGCGACGAUCAGUAGCCGGCUUGAGAGAGUGAACGGCCACAUUGGGACUGAGACACGGCCCAAACUCCUACGGGAGGCAGCAGUGGGGGAAUAUUGCACAAUGGGGGAAACCCGUGAUGCAGCAGCGCCGCGUGAGUGAAGAAGUAUUUCGGUAUGUAAAGCUCUAUCAGCAGGGAAGAAAGUGACGGUACCUGACUAAGAGCCCGGCUAACUACGUGCCAGCCGCCGCCGU